AUUUCUCCAUGAUGUGACGUGGAUUUUAUUUUUCAAUUUAGUAACUUUUGCAUUGUUGCCAUUUAAUUACCCCUUGUAAAUGCUAGGGUUAGUAUGAAAAUCCCAAAUUAGCUAACUUUCGUUCCUACAAAAAGGCGAACUGCACAAGCUGGUUGAAGACGCAAACAAGGUUGUUUCUGGACGGUUGAAGACGAAGCACGGUCGAAGACGCCAUUGAAACAAUGUUUGAGGUUAGUUUUUUC
rnacentral:lncRNA from 1 species